GCGUUGUCCGGAUUUAUUGGGCGUAAAGAGCGUGUAGGCGGCCAUACAGGUCAGCUGUGAAAACUCGAGGCUCAACCUCGAGACGUCGGUUGAAACCGUAUGGCUAGAGUCCGGAAGAGGAGAGUGGAAUUCCCGGUGUAGCGGUGAAAUGCGCAGAUAUCGGGAAGAACACCCGUGGCGAAGGCGGCUCUCUGGAACGCAACUGACGCUGAGACGCGAAAGCGUGGGGAGCAAACAGG
rnacentral:rRNA from 1 species